ACUUCCAAAGGACGGAUUCCAGAGGACUCGCUGUCAAAUCCUGGAGCCAGAAAGAAAAUCUGCCUCUAAUUCCAUUGUUUUGGCAGAAAACAAUCAGCUUGCCAGCAUGCAAUUUCUUUAAGUGAAGGAAAUUCAGGAACUAAACACAAACUGGCCAGGGAUGCCUUCACUGCCAGCAGAAGAAGGCUGAACGCUGCCUUCUGCAAAUACUUACCUCAGAGCGUGAUGGGACUGAAAACAGCAGCCUGCUAUACAUCAGAGAAUGCUUCAUUCGUGACUAGCGCUGAUGUAAUGGUACAGACGAACUUUCAGUCAAGGAGCAUCUGCUCGUUCACCUACUCUGAAUUAUAUAUACAAGAUACACAGGAGGAGUGGAUGGUAAGGUGGAGGAAGAAUGCGAAGUAAUCCUUUAGUCCCGAGUGCCUGUUGUAGAAGAAAAGCAUCUGUCAGUGAGCUGAAACUGUAGAGGUACUCCAUUGUGCGUACAAGGAAAAAGACUGACUUUCUAAAUUCAGAGGUCAUGGACAGUUCCUCACUUCUGCUUUCUACAGCCGUGGAAAAUGCAGUUUUCCCCAACCAGAUUUAUAGCAACUGCUUCUCCUUCAUGCAUCAGUACAGACAACUUGCACAUGGGAAACACAGAAGCCUAUGUAUGAAGAAAUGUUCUCUGGUAUUCCAGCCAGGGCGAAGAAAGGAGAAGGAAAAACACUUCAAAACCUGAAGGUGCAACAUUACUAGAAAAAUACUGCAAUAGAAUAAAUUAACCUAUUUUUGUCAUUUAUCUUAUUUCCCAAUUUCAAAGUAGGCAGGUAAAUAUGAAUCAGUCAUAUCUUCAGAAGAAACAGAAUUACAAGUGAUGCCUUCCUUUUUUUAAAAUAUAUGCCGCCUUUAAGAUCAGAACUCUGGGCAUUGUGAAACCUGGGGGGACUUUCCCCAAAGCCAAAUUACUGUAAUCCUGGGGAGAACUGCAAGAUUCCUUUCUGCAGUUUCUUCAGCCAAAGACUGAAAGUGUCUGAACUCGCACCUAGAAAUGUUGAAAAAUUAAACAGGCAACACAGCUGUGGCUUCAGGUGUUUUUCAGGAGGAAAAUAGGAGUUUCAGGGUUAAUCUAAAGAGAUUACUUCCAGUAAAAGUAGAGAUGCUUACCAUAUUAGUGCACUAACUAUGGCAACUUAAAAAGUGGUAGGAAGAGACAAAAGAAAAAAACAAAACAAGCUAACUGCAAUGGAUGAGUAACUUAACUCCCACAUCCUUGAGUUGAGGAUAUGAAGCACAAAGCGUAAGGAGUCUUCAAAGACUAAGGCUUGGACAUACAUUUACUGAUGGGCUGCCCAGUAAAUACACAGGCAAUACCUCUCCUCUCACAAUGGAGAAGUCAAGUCUGUUACAGGCCCAGGAAGUUGACAAGAAGAGGUUUCUCGUAGCAGAAACUAAAACCUGUCCAAGACAAAACCAGAGGCCUACAUUUUGCAGGUAGUAUAAUAAGAGAUAAAUAUUAGUAAAGGCCAAAUUCCAACAUACAUUCACAACUGGCUCAAUUUUUUUUUCAUGCCAAUGAAAAAUACUGCAAACAAUGGUAUGAGGGGCAAGAUGAACAUUAAAAAAAAAUUCCAAGAGGUCACACGUUUCUUCUCUGAAAAAUCAGUUUGUUUGAAUUUGACUAUACUCAGAAAAACUCUCUGAAAGCUGCAGAAACUGAGGGCUGCAGACCAAUGUGCAAAAGCAAGAUACAAGUGUUCUGAAAGGGAUUCUGUGAGCUGAUCUUCCAGCUCUGUUGUAUGGAUUCCAAUUUCCAGUUGUUUUUGGAAGCCGGAAAUCCAAAAACAGGAGUCUAGGUGAGUGAGUAUUUUAGAGAAUUUAAUUUCCCAUUUCUAAAGAUUUCUGUUAAGGUAACAGAGGUAUAAACCGCUGUAACAUUUCUCAACUUAUAUCUUAAUAAAGCUAGGAGAAUUUAAGCGAAAACGAAUUCCAGUCUUUGAGGCACACACAUUGUAACAUUUGCAUCUUACAGACAUAAAUAAUUUAGGCAAAUCUCUCCAGAAGACUCCAGAAGUGUUAGUCCCAUUUAUUACGCUAGCUAAAAGGAUGACAUACUAAUUUUCCCUAUAAUUAUGUAUUCCAAGUUCUUUUCCUACCCUUCAAAGGGCAUCAGUGUCACUCAGGGACGUAUUUUUUUUCUUUAUACGUAUUUUUAAUAAUAAAUAUAUUCAACAAUUCAAGAGUCUACAUGUGUCUAGUGUGUUGGACAGGUAUUUGGAAAAUACCAGCUUAUGCAGGAGAAAGAGCUGUGAAGGCAUAAAGUAAAAGAAGACAAUACGG